rnacentral:rRNA from 1 species
CACGGACCGCACGAACGUUAUUCGGUAUCACUGGGCUUAAAGGGUGCGUAGGCGGCUUGGCAAGUUGGGUGUGAAAGCCCUCGGCUCAACCGAGGAAUUGCGCUCAAUACUGCCGAGCUCGAGAGAGACAGAGGUAAGCGGAACUAAUGGUGGAGCGGUGAAAUGCGUUGAUAUCAUUUGGAACGCCAAUGGUGAAAACAGGUAGCUGGGAGUGUGCUGACACUGAGACACGAAAGCCAGGGGAGCGAACGGG